rnacentral:lncRNA from 1 species
CUUCCAGUUGUUAGACACUCCACUGGGACAUUCUAGCCCCUGUUUUCUGUAGCCACAGUGGCUGGAUACCAUGAUCUAUCUGUGUAUUAGUUCAUAUUCUCCAAGAAGCCGAUACCAAGACAAGAUGAAGUGUGCAAGUAUUUCAUUAGGGGACAUGCCUACAUGAAAGGAACUAGGAGGAAAAUGGAGUAGGCCAGGAGAGCAUUCAGUUUGUGAUGCAAAUUGACUUCCAGUGAAGGAGAGAGGAGGAAAAGAUGGAAGCUCCUAGACUGUCCUUCUGGCUUAGGAAGGUUUGGGAAAGCCACCAAGGGCAUCUUAGCCAAAGUCACCCAUCAAAAAGGUACUGUGUCUCUUAGGAAAGGACCUGCCUUAGAAUCCCCUCAGCCCCAAUCACAUUUAGCCAUUGGUAGAGAACAGCCUGUGGGAAAGGGGCCUUGGCACAUACCCACUGAUAGAUUUCAGAGUGCACUAGAUGGAGUUUCAGUCAAUUACAUCCCCUGGAGUCACAGGUGUGCCAGGUGCAUGCUCAUGACCUUCACAACUUGUCAGUUUGGACUUUCUUCCAGCACCCGAAGCUGGGUCUGUACCCCAAGGUGCUAGUCUCACUCUACAAACAUGCUGUUUUACCUUCAGGUCCCAGUCUCUCCUAGCCUGCUUUAUCCAGCUGGAAUCAACAGACAGCCAGGUCGGGCCUUAUCAUGAGCAGCGUUUUCAAGUGUGAAUUCCUUCCUGGCAUUUCUCCAGAAAUUUAUAUGGACUUCUAAAACCCGAAUUCCAAGAAAAAUUCAUUGAAACAUUGAGGGAAUGAGAAAAAAUGUUACAAUUCUCCUUGAAAAGUUAAAACUGAACAAUCAACACAAAGACAUAACUGGUUUGAUGGAAGCCACUGACAAAAAGUCAAAAGAGCAGGAAACUCUGACAUGGAGUCAAAGAUCAAGGCUGGAAUUUCCAGAACCAUGACAGGAGUACAGAACAGUGGUCAUGAGCUAAUCAGUCAGCCUUUCUUGCAGCUGUUGCCAUGUUAUAUGUGUGUGUUUGUUGCAGAUAAAGUAAAUAUUAAUAAGUUUAUAUGCAUAGUAUGCUUUAUAGAAAUCAUAUGAUUGCUCUUCCAAAAAAAAUAACAAGUUUUUUAAGCAAAAUAAGUCCUUUAACUGGCAGUUUCCACAUAUGACUCUGGGAAGUGAUGUUAAUUUUAUUAGGAGAUCUGAAUGUGAGGUUAUUCGUAUAUUACCCAAUAAUAUUUGUCAGCAUUUUUCAGUGUUUGAAUAUUUGUUAUAAAACAUAAUUCUUGGUAAAAAAAAAUAGUAAACUGAAAAUUCCUUUUUAUUACAUCAUUUUAAUGUCCAUAAUAAUAAGAUAUGAAGAAUGGUGGAAGUAUUUAAAGAAUAACAUAUGACUUAGAAUAAUUUGUGAAAUUUCCAAGAAUUCCAGUAUCUCAUUCCAAGUCUUGAAGACUAGAAAUACUGUGAGAUAAAGCUUGGGAAUUCUCCAGGAUUGAUUAGAGAAAUGAUGAUGACUAAAAUGAGACUGCUGUUUUCGCUUUUAUCCAAUCAGAACUCAAUCCUCUUAGCCAAUCUAAACUUUAAUCUCAGUGCUGUGAGCCUAAUUUAACUGCUUCUUCAGAAUAAGGAAAAUAAUUACACCAUGCAAAUUUCAAUUGUGAAUUUUCCCAACUUAGGAAAAGAUCAAUAGUUUUAAAUAUUUGUCCUCUAUAGGGCUUGGCAACAACAUGGCUAAAAAUAAAAGCGAUAUUACAACUAAAAAGAAAAACACACCACUAUAGCCAUGCUAUUGCUGCAGAAAUUUUCAUAUACUUGACCUCUGAUUAACAUGUCAUCUCUCUAAAGAGCUAUUCUCAAUUUUACUCCAGUGUCUUAGUCUGCACAGGCUGCCAUAACAAAAUACCAUGGACUAAGUGGCUUAAACAACAUAAGUCUAUUUCUCACAGCUCUAGAGGUUGGGGAGUUCAACAUCAAGGCACUGGCCAGUAGGGUUCCUGGUGUCUCUCUGAGGUCCUUUCUUAUAACAUCACUAAUUUCAUCAUGAGGGCCCUACUCUCAUGGCCUCACCUAACCCUAAUUAUCUCCCAAGGACGCCAUCUUAAAUACCAUCCUGUUGGGUUGUAGGGCUUCAACAUGAGAACCUGGGGUGGAGGACACAAACAUUUGGUUCAUAACAUCUGACAUGGCUUUCUUGAGACCAGAACCAGCUCAUGAAAAGAGUCCAAUCAGAUGAAAAUGCUAAAGCUUGGAGAGUUUGAACCCCUUGCCUGAGGUCCUCAAGUGGUGGAGCUGGAAUUCAAACCGCAGGCAUCCAACUCCAGAGUCCUCAGUCAUAACUGAUCUGUGAUAUUGACUCUAUUCUAAUAAACAACUUUAACAAAAUCUGUGAUAUUGACUCUCUUCUAAUAAACAACUUUAACUUUAUUCAUCUUAAUUACUGAAAAAAUAAUCACCAAACAUAGUACUCUAU